rnacentral:siRNA from 1 species
GUUUUGGAGUCGAAUAUG